ensembl:lncRNA HISLA HIF1A stabilizing long noncoding RNA
GUUAAACAAGUGCUUGAAGGCAGUAUGCUUGGUAAAAGUCAUCGCCAUUCUCUAAUCUUGAGUACCCAGGGACACGAUACACUGCGGAAGGCUGCAGGGACCUCUGCCCAGGAAAGCCAGGAGCCAGAAAAACUUCAUCUCUUUUACAAGAAACAUUGAGAUUCCUGUAAAAUUAAGAAAUCACACAAUUUGAUGGUCUACAUUAUCUAAAGCAAAUGAGACUUCUAUUUGGAACAAAGACUACCUUGUUGGGAAAUGAGUCUGCAAGUUAAAGUGUUUUCUGGGUGGUCUGCUGCUGAUCAAAUGAAAGUAUUCCCCAGCUAAGUCAGACAACAGGAAAGCAUUCAUUUAAUUAACAGGCAUUCAAUGCAAUUCAAUGGGUUAUUUCUUAAACACCUACUAUGUGUCAAAUCCUGUCCUGUGCCUAAGUGGAUGCAAAGAUGAUGCAUAUCAUAAAUUAUUACUCACCCCAUGUUCCCACCCUCGAGAGACCUCCAAACAAUCACCAUGCCACAGUGAACAUUCAGUAACAAAAAUUCAGCCAGGGUUUUCACCAGCAUGAAUGGCAGUGAUUCCAAUCAGGAAAACAGAAAGAGGAGAGUUCAGAGCCACCUAGAAUGGCUCUUGCAAGAUACGAAAUCAAGGCAGCAGCAACAGGGCUGAACAUUCCUCAUCCCUAACUCUCCCUUCACCAGUAGGAAACCCAGGAUAACUGCAAUCACCGCAGGCCCAUCUGGCCUGAAGUUCUACUACUAGUAGCCCUCCAUGGGACCUUCUUAAGGAAGCAUGUCAACUCAGGUAAGGGAUGUAAGGGGAUGGAUGACCCUUUGAGGCCAAAGUUGGAGCAAAAAACACCAGAUGUUCCUGUGCACUGCUCCUAAGAGAUGGUUCUGAAGACCAGUUCGGGGAGAGGUCAAAAUACUGGACAGAAUCUCAGCAACAUGGAACCUCAAACUAAGUGACAGUCACAGACAACUCUUCCCCAAAGAAAAUAAGCACAGACAUGGUUUGUGGUAAGCAGAAUUAUAAAGAUGAAUUCCCAUCUCCCUGUCAGAUUACCAGUAUGGUAAAUUACCAGAUUACCUGGUUAUUUAUUCAAACACUAAUACAGUUAUUGCCUUGAUGGAAACAUACAGAUACAAUUAAAAUCCCAAGUACCAAAUAAAUUGACCUUAAGACAAAGACUAAGUAAAUCACAUGAGCCCUCUACAAGCAGAGAGUUUUUCUCCAGCUGGUAGCAGAAGCCAGAGAUUUGAAGCAUAGGAAGUAUUCAACACAUUAUUGCUGGCCUGAAAAUGGAAGGGGCCACAUAACGAGGGAAACCGGUGGCCUCUAGAAGCAGGGAGCAGUCCCCUGCUGACAGACAGCAAGCCAAGACCUCAGUUCUACAAUUGCAAGACACUCAAUUCUGCUAAGGACAAAAAUGAGCUUGGAAGUGAACUCUGAGCUUCAGGUGAGAACACGGCCAAACAACACCUUGAUUUCAGCUUAAACAAAGAAUGCAGCCACUCCAUGCCAGAAUUCUGACCUGUAGAAAUUUGAGCUAAUAAAUAGAUGUUUUAAUAGC